AUACGGAGGGGGUUAGCGUUGUUCGGAAUUACUGGGCGUAAAGCGUACGUAGGCGGACUGGAAAGUUGGGGGUGAAAUCCCGGGGCUCAACCCCGGAACUGCCUCCAAAACUUCCAAUCUAGAGAUCGAGAGAGGUGAGUGGAAUUCCAAGUGUAGAGGUGAAAUUCGUAGAUAUUUGGAGGAACACCAGUGGCGAAGGCGGCUCACUGGCUCGAUACUGACGCUGAGGUACGAAAGCGUGGGUAGCAAACGGGAUUAGAAACCCCUGUAGUCC
rnacentral:rRNA from 1 species